rnacentral:lncRNA from 1 species
CCGUUUUCACCAACAACCUCUUACCGUUUCCCUAUCUAAAAGCUACUUUUAAUAAGGAGCCCUCCCAAUUUGACACCUACCUAAAUUCAUUUUCACCACACUUGUACAUGGAUCCCUUAAAGAAGAGAAAACGAGGAUAAACCUUUCUUGCAGAAGAAAAAGACAAGCUAGUGAAAUUGCUGACGUCUCAUAGAGACACAAUAUUAAACAAAAAACGGAUGGGACCACGAACAAAGCCAAAAACAAAGCUUGGAUCCAGUUACAAAUAGUUUUAAUGCGAUAGGAACCGUUUACAGUUUCAGGUGGUGCGAGAAAUUGGAAAGACGUGUAAAAACAUGCUGCGCCCAGCCCACCUCAAAUUGAAUUGGUGCAGGAGGAUGAUGAUAAUGUUUGGUACAUCAUAUGAGGACUAAUAUUAAAAUAUUUGUUUAC